AUUCACUAUCAUUUUGCCACAAACGUCAAAACAACUGUCGACCAAAUUUGUAUGGAAUAUAACAAUUUGAUUACGUUUCGGAUCUCAGAAGUUUGCUCAGAUGUUUGGAUAGCUCCCCUUCCACACACACACACAUUAUAUUUAUGCUCAAAGAGAGAGAGAGUCGAGGAGGUCGUAGAGUUCUUCUUGGAUCAUGUGCUGCUGCAUUUCCACACACAAGCUCAAGCUGCUGGUCGUCUGCCUGACGCUCCUUGUGCAGGUUGUCCAUCAGAGUGAUGGGUAAGGGAAAAGUGUAUUUAAUCAGUGUCCCCGUGCCUCUCCGCAGAUUGAUGGCGAGCUAAAGGCCGCUAAUAAUGGCACCCUGCUGCUGUACUACAGCAAAACCCAUUUCCUCGGAUAUCUGAUAACUCGCAUCUGCCUGGGCAUCUUUCUGGCCAUUUGGGCAUUCGCUGGCUUCAUUUCGCUCUUCUAUGACUCCGUCUGGGGUGUGGCUGCUGUGAGUAUAGUCCGCUCCUCUCCUUGACUGUCUUUGAAUGUCUGACUGUCUCUCCUGCAGUACUCGACUGGCAUUUGUUUUCUCACCGUUUUGGAUCUCUUUACACUGUACUAUCGCCAUGUAUUGCGAGCUCAGGGAUAUUUUGUAAAUUCUGUGAAGUUUGAACGACGUCACAAACUGUCGCGUGUCGCCCAUAAUCAUGAAACUCUAGAUGAGGGCAUUGGCGAUGCCAUGCUUUUGACCAUCAACAUUGUUCAGGUGUGCCAUCAACCAUUCAGUCCCUCAUAUCAAUCAGUUUGUAUUGCUAGACAAUAUACGUACGUACAUGUAUUUAGGUAGCCGUUCAAGUUUCUGUCAAUAUUGCCGGUUGGUGGCUGGCCGUUAGACUGCGAAGACAUCACCAGAACGAGGCCAAAUAUGAGAGCGACAAGGCCUACCUCGAGUCUUUGUUGAAAAGUCAUCCGCCCAUGGCGCCGCAAUCAAAUCCGCUGNNNNNNNNNNNNNNUCGUUAACAAACGAAAAAGCAACAAAGAACGUCCAGAACAAAUGAAGACACAAGACCUCGGAUUCCACUUGCAGCACUUCUGCUGCCCCUUCAACGCAAGUAUCUACAUUGAAAUUAUAAUGCUGCCUGCUUGAGGCACGCCACUAUACAAGUUUUUAUAUUUUUGUUCGGGCUCGGACCCUCGAAAAAUUGGUGGGUUGAACAAGGUUCAACGUUGAACCCUUUAUUCCAAAUGCCACGCUUUGGGGCAUAAUGCUCUUGAUUGGCUUUUGCGUUGCUUACUGCGGAUUUUCCUUGCUUGCUUUUGGCAUUUUUUGUUCGCUUGUUUAGUGCUUUUCCCUUUGCUCUUUUCUGCUUUUCUGCUUUUCUUCUGUAGUUUUUUUGCCAACUUUGACUCCGUCUUGCGAUGCAUUCAACAAGCGCUGCAACAUUGUGGCAGCACAAGUUGACCUUAACAGGUCAUGGCCAAUGUCAUGUCCCCUUUUCCUUUAUUUGUUCGGGUUCAAGGACUCGUUGAUGCACAGUUUUGUUGUCGCUUUCAUUUCAGCUCGACACUCGUUGGGCCUGUUCAAGCCGUUGAUGUUUGAGGGACGCAAAACCCCGGCCAGAUCAUUGGCCUGUCGAGGGCCCCACAAAAAGGAUGCCAACCAAAAUUGUACUUUGCCCAGCGGAACUUCUUCACGACUUCUCGGAGUAAUUACACAUGCAAUAAGCAUGCAUAUAAAUAAAAACAACUAUUGAUGAUUGAAGCUCUGACUAUAUUUUACUCGCCGACUUGACUUCACUUCUCACCGAUGCUGCAACCAUAAGAUCAAGGAAACAAAUCAGAU
rnacentral:lncRNA from 1 species